UACGUAGGGGGCUAGCGUUGUCCGGAAUCAUUGGGCGUAAAGAGCGUGUAGGCGGUCCGGUAAGUCCGCUGUGAAAGUCGGGGGCUCAACCCUGGAAUGCCGGUGGAUACUGUCGGGCUAGAGUGCGGAAGAGGCGAGUGGAAUUCCUGGUGUAGCGGUGAAAUGCGCAGAUAUCAGGAGGAACACCUAUUGCGAAGGCAGCUCGCUGGGACGUAACUGACGCUGAGACGCGAAAGCGUGGGGAGCAAACAGG
rnacentral:rRNA from 1 species